GUGGAGCAGAGAUGGUGGGUGUGAGAUAAACAGUUCAAGAGAGUCAUGUGCAUUGUAAAUCAGACAACGCUCAAGAGCCAUGAGACAGCAGAGACAAAAGAGGUCUGAAGGAACUAUAGAUAUAUAUUGAAGCACAAUAAGGACUCUGACACAGCGAGCGCUGAGGAACAGUUGAGGAGAAGCAACAGUCCUCCAGAGUGAAAUGCAACAGAGCUGACAAUGGGGUUCACAGCAUUGCUCUGUCUCCUGUCUGCAUUCACUCUGACAACGCAAGAUUUGGUGAGCCUCAUUGUGAGCCCCGUAGUGACUGCAGAGUGUGACCAACAAGUUACCCUGAACUGCAGCGUAUCCUCAUAUCAAAACGGACUAUCAAUAAAGCAUAUGGAGUGGUCCCAAAACAGAACAAAAUUAUGUACUGUGGACAGCAAGGGAGACCUUAUCCAACACAACCCAGCCCCUCUUGGUAGCUUCCAAUGUUACUACAAAGAUGGAAGACUGUCCCUCACCUUUCCACAUGUGCGGGCUCUGAACAGUGGAAAGUACAUGUGCAAACUGCGUUCCAACCACGGAACGUCCAAUGAACACACAACACUGGAGUUAAAAGAAUGUUCUGGGAAAGUUGAGGGUGUUUUCAUGAGUGAUGGGCCUUCCUGCACCUUCCACCGUGUCCACCCAGGAGGAGAAGUGCACUGGUUUCACGGCUCCCACAAUCUCUCAGACAGCUCCCACACUUCCCAAAGUGUGGAUAAUGAAGGCUAUCUGACUAUCCAUAGUUACCUGAAGAGGCAAAGUUCCCAUGUGCCUUACAAUUGUUCUUUGAAGAGCACCAGGUCGGGCAGGUAUAUUGCAAGUACUCUGGUUGAAAAUGAUUCGGCCGGGAGCCCAGCCAGGAGCCCUGUAGUCAGAAACCUGGGACCUUCAAACAUGAGUAGAUCACAGGAACAUAUGAGGACAGUUCUGGGUAUUUUAAUCUUACUUGCUGCCAUAAUGAAAUAAUGGAUUUUCCAAAGUAAAUCCAUGUCAGAGAGUCUGAUCAGAUGGAGUGAUGAUUAACACUGAUUAGAAACAAUGCGGUACUGACAUUUAUGUUGUUGUUUUGUUUUAUGUUUUUCAGACACCAGAGCAACAGUGCUCUGAGUUAAGUGACUCAUCUUCUACGGUCCAAAGGUUCAUUUUUCUCCCUUUUAGCUCUUGGGUGAAGUGAACAAGAAAAUUACAGACUGUUGAGAGGUGAUAACAAGGGAGUCGAUAAUCAUUUCACUGUAUAAAAUACCUUUGUUGUUUUCUUUCGACAGACUGUCACGGAUGAGAGAGCAAGGCAUAUUGGUUUCAUUAUACUCUUUUAGAAAACAACAAACACACCCACACUCAGAAGGCGCACCUUCACAUAACUGGAAAGACAAAAUCUGCCUGACUUCUGGCUCAGUUUUGUCUUGAGCUUUAAACCUUUGAACCACAGAUUAGCUUCAGGAGUGUGAACUGACUUCUAUGAGAGUGAGAUGAAAGCAUCUGUUGACAGGUGUGUACACCAUGUGUCUGCAGCACCGUUGUGUUUGUGUAACUGUGAAUGAAUGCUUUCUGCACAAGCUGCAUGAAAACAAUUUUUUUAACAGAAUGCAGACCAUAAAAAAUUGCCUUUUCUGUAAUUUUCUUUUAGAAAUAGAAGCUUUUUAGGUUGAGAUGUCAAAUAGCAGGAGGCAUGAAUCGUCAGUUGAGCAACAGAUCUGUGUGGUUUAUGGAUGGAUGCUGCCCUCUGGUGAACUAGCAGGAUAAUGAACAGUGAUAUAAAUUCCUGUAAAGACACAGGUAAUUUUUUCAGGCAGCAUUGGGCUGUACAUGUGGAAUGCAAUAUGACUGCAUUUAAAGGGUUGAUUUGCCCAAGUUAGAGCUUGUAAAAGUGACGUGAAAACCAGUCAAUGGUUCUAUAUGGGGCUAAUUUUAAAUAGAAAAUGGUUUCCACAGUGAGAUCUGUGGAUUAUCAAAAGUGAUAAGGAGAUGGGUGCAGGGAAAUAUCAGCUUCUGUAUGGCUACAUGCCACCAGAGGUAAUUAAGAUUUGAUAAAACAACCCCUGGGUUUGCAUGACUGAAGUAUGUAUAAAUGCUCAGAUACAGAUCAUGUCUUACUUGCUCAAAAACUGUAUAUCAGUUCCUUUUCAAUUAGGAAUCAGAUCAGCAAUCAGCAUGAGCAAGAAGGUGGAUAGCGAUCACUUCUGUUGUUUCCCAUCUUCAGUUUGCCCUCAGACUCUCCCCACUCAAGUCUCUGAUGUAUAACUUAAAGCUAGAGGACAAACCCCGCUCCAAGGCUAAAACGCAGCCUUUUUACCGGCUCAGUGCACUCUCACUUCAGACAGGACAUUUGAGAGCCUUUUCAAGUGAGGAUGACUCUCUGCUAAUGGUGUCACUAAAUCAGUGUCAUGCAGGGGGAAGGUUGCGCUUUAAGCAAGACAACGAUGCAGCUGAGAUGCCACAAAAAAACCAAGUCGAGGUCACCUUGACUGUUUCAGAGUGCAGGAUUGCAUCCAGACACAGAUACGGCACAUGAAACACAGCUGUGUUUACAGCAUUACAGAGGACCCCACACUGACUUAUUUUUUUGUGUCAUUUUGGAGAUUAUAUCAGCCUAACCUUAACACAAGUUUUCAUCCAAAAAUGUCAUAAUUUACAUUAAGACGACUUAAUAUUGUCAGAUGUUGUGACUUUGUAAACAGAUUUAUGUCACCUCCAUACACACCAGUCCGGAUAUGCUUGCAGAAAACUUGAAUAUUUGUGCUGUCUUUAAAGGGUUUGGGGUACAAUAAUGAUAUUUCAAAAGCCUAAUAUUGAAAAUACUGCUGCUGACCAGAAUGAAAUGAGAUAUACCCAACUUACAAAUAUUUAGUAGCUCAAAAAAAGGCAGUUUACACAAAUAGUUAGGAACUAAAGCACUAAUGUAGACUGAGUGAAUAAACGCUUUUUAUAUAUAUAUUAUUCCUUUCAUUUUGACUCACAACAGAGCGAUGUGCUGCAAACACUAUUGUACAAUAAUUGUUAAAAUGAAUGAUUGUAAAUUCUCUUGAUUUUCUUAACUUGGAAAUUAAAUACAUGAGUUAUUGCUUUACUUGAAAUUGCAUGUCGUCAAAAGCAUUGGGGAUCACUUAAGGUCUACAGGACAUCAGUCGAAGUCUCAUCCUUGUGUAAAUGAGCUCACCAAGAAAUCUGCGUACUUGGUCUCCAUAUUGGUUUUCAAUUUUGAUAUUUUUAGAAAAUUUUUCUGACAUUAAUGUUUACAACGAUUGUUUUGUAAAUAAUGAGUGCUGUAUUUUUCUUUUACAAUGACAAAUAAAGAGCAAUUAUAAAAAUGA